GACGAACGCUGGCGGCGUGCUUAACACAUGCAAGUCGAACGGAAAGGCCCUGCUUUUGUGGGGUGCUCGAGUGGCGAACGGGUGAGUAACACGUGAGUAACCUGCCCUUGACUUUGGGAUAACUUCAGGAAACUGGGGCUAAUACCGGAUAGGAGCUCCUGCUGCAUGGGGGGGGUUGGAAAGUUUCGGCGGUGGGGGAUGGACUCGCGGCUUAUCAGCUUGUUGGUGGGGUAGUGGCUUACCAAGGUUUUGACGGGUAGCCGGCCUGAGAGGGUGACCGGCCACAUUGGGACUGCGAUACGGCCCAGACUCCUACGGGAGGCAGCAGUGGGGAAUAUUGCACAAUGGGCGGAAGCCUGAUGCAGCAACGCCGCGUGCGGGAUGACGGCCUUCGGGUUGUAAACCGCUUUCGCCUGUGACGAAGCGUGAGUGACGGUAAUGGGUAAAGAAGCACCGGCUAACUACGUG
rnacentral:rRNA from 1 species